rnacentral:rRNA from 1 species
UACGUAGGGUGCGAGCGUUAAUCGGAAUUACUGGGCGUAAAGCGUGCGCAGGCGGUUUUGUAAGCCAGAUGUGAAAGCCCCGGGCUUAACCUGGGAAUGGCAUUUGGGACUGCAAGGCUGGGAGUGUGGCAGAGGAGACGUGGAAUUCCUGGUGUAGCAGUGAAAUGCGUAGAUAUCAGGAGGAACACCGAUGGCGAAGGCAGGUCUCUGGGCUGACACUGACGCUCAUGCACGUAAAGCGUGG